rnacentral:rRNA from 1 species
AGUGAACGCUGGCGGUAGGCCUAACACAUGCAAGUCGAACGGCAGCACAGUAAUAGCUUGCUCUUACGGGUGGCGAGUGGCGUACGGGUGAGGAGUACAUCGGAAUCUACUUUUUCGUGUGGGUUAACGUAGGGAAACUUACGCUAAUACCGCAUACGACCUACGGUUGAAAGCAUGUGUUCUUCUGACCUUUCGCGAUUGAAUUAGCCGAUGUCGGAUUAGCUAGUUGGCGGGGUAAAGUCCCACCAAGGCGACGAUCCGUAGCUGGUCUGAGAGGAUGAGAAGCAACAGUGGAAGUGAGACAGGGAAAAGAGGAGUAAGGGAGGAAGAAGUGGGGAAUAUUGGAGAAUGGGGGCAAGCAUGAUCCAGCAAUACCGAGUGGGUGAAGAAGGAAUUCGGGUUGUAAAGAAAUUUUGUGGGGAAAGAAAAGAAGCAGGUUAAUACACAGAUGUAAUGACGGUAACGAAAGAAUAAGCACCGGCUAACUUCGUG